AACUUUCACAAUGGAAGGUCCAUGGAACUCCUUAAUGGCCCCCCUCCAUGAGGAACACCUUUUGAAAGGUUGAACCCAAAUUCAGGAAGGACUACCCCUGAAC
rnacentral:rRNA from 1 species